UACGUAGGUGGCAAGCGUUGUCCGGAAUUACUGGGUGUAAAGCGCGUGUAGGCGGGAGGCCAAGUCUGCUGUGAAAUCGCCCGGCUCAACUGGGCGGGGUCGGUGGAAACUGGUCACCUGGAGGACGGUAGAGGCGAGUGGAAUUCCCGGUGUAGUGGUGAAAUUCGUAGAUAUCGGGAGGAACACCAGUGGCGAAGGCGGCGAUCUGGGAAGAUACUGACGCUGAGGUGCGAAAGCGUGGGGAGCAAACAGG
rnacentral:rRNA from 1 species